rnacentral:rRNA from 1 species
UACCAGACUCCUACGGGAGGCAGCAGUGGGGAAUAUUGCACAAUGGGGGAAACCCUGAUGCAGCAACGCCGCGUGAAGGAAGACGGUUUUCGGAUUGUAAACUUCUGUUCUUAGUGAAGAAUAAUGACGGUAGCUAAGGAGCAAGCCACGGCUAACUACGUGCCAGCAGCCGCGGUAAUACGUAGGGGGCAAGCGUUAUCCGGAUUUACUGGGUGUAAAGGGAGCGUAGACGGCGGCGCAAGUCCGGAGUGAAAGCCCACGGCCCAACCGUGGGACUGCUCUGGAAACUGUGCGGCUUGAGUGCGGGAGGGGCAGGCGGAAUUCCUAGUGUAGCGGUGAAAUGCGUAGAUAUUAGGAGGAACACCGGCGGCGAAGGCGGCCUGCUGGACCGUAACUGACGUUGAGGCUCGAAAGCGUGGGGAGCAAACAGGAUUAGAUACCCCAGUAAU